rnacentral:rRNA from 1 species
GUGCAGCAGGCGAGAAUUUUUGACAAUGGGGGAAACCCUGAUCGAGCGACGCCGCGUGGAGGAUGAAGGUCUUCGGAUUGUAAACUCCUGUCAUUGGGGAACAAGGUGCAUACGUUAACUGCGUGUGUAUUGAUAGUACCCGGAAGAGGAAGGGACGGCUAACUCUGUGCCAGCAGCCGCGGUAAUACAGAGGUCCCAAGCGUUGUUCGGAUUCAUUGGGCGUAAAGGGUGCGUAGGCGGCGCGGUAAGUCGGGUGUGGAAAUCUCGGAGCUUAACUCCGAAACUGCAUUCGAUACUGCCGUGCUUGAGGACUGGAGAGGAGACUGGAAUUUACGGUGUAGCGGUGAAAUGCGUAGAUAUCGUAAGGAAGACCAGUGGCGAAGGCGGGUCUCUGGACAGUUCCUGACGCUGAGGCACGAAGGCCAGGGGAGCAAACGGGAUUAGAUACCCGUGUAGU